rnacentral:rRNA from 1 species
GAUGAACGCUGGCGGCGUGCCUAAUACAUGCAAGUCGAGCGAACAGACGAGGAGCUUGCUCCUCUGACGUUAGCGGCGGACGGGUGAGUAACACGUGGAUAACCUACCUAUAAGACUGGGAUAACUUCGGGAAACCGGAGCUAAUACCGGAUAACAUGUUGAACCGCAUGGUUCAACAGUGAAAGACGGUCUUGCUGUCACUUAUAGAUGGAUCCGCGCCGCAUUAGCUAGUUGGUAAGGUAACGGCUUACCAAGGUAACGAUGCGUAGCCGACCUGAGAGGGUGAUCGGCCACACUGGAACUGAGACACGGUCCAGACUCCUACGGGAGGCAGCAGUAGGGAAUCUUCCGCAAUGGGCGAAAGCCUGACGGAGCAACGCCGCGUGAGUGAUGAAGGUCUUCGGAUCGUAAAACUCUGUUAUUAGGGAAGAACAAAUGUGUAAGUAACUAUGCACGUCUUGACGGUACCUAAUCAGAAAGCCACGGCUAACUACGUG